rnacentral:rRNA from 1 species
AUUGCCUUAGUAACGGCGAGUGAAGCGGCAACAGCUCAAAUUUGAAAUCUGGCCCCAGGCCCGAGUUGUAAUUUGCAGAGGAUGCUUUUGGUGAGGUGCCUUCCGAGUUCCCUGGAACGGGACGCCAUAGAGGGUGAGAGCCCCGUCUGGUCGGACACCGAGCCUCUGUAAAGCUCCUUCGACGAGUCGAGUAGUUUGGGAAUGCUGCUCUAAAUGGGAGGUAUAUGUCUUCUAAAGCUAAAUACCGGCCAGAGACCGAUAGCGCACAAGUAGAGUGAUCGAAAGAUGAAAAGCACUUUGAAAAGAGAGUUAAAUAGCACGUGAAAUUGUUGAAAGGGAAGCGUUUAUGACCAGACUUGGCCCGGUUGAUCAUCCAGCGUUCUCGCUGGUGCACUCUGCCGGUCCAGGCCAGCAUCAGUUCGUCGCGGGGGACAAAGGCUUCGGGAAUGUGGCUCCUCCGGGAGUGUUAUAGCCCGUUGCGUAAUACCCUGCGGUGGACUGAGGUCCGCGCUUCUGCAAGGAUGCUGGCGUAAUGGUCAUCAACGACCCGUCUUGAAACACGGACCAAGGAGUCGUCUUCGUAUGCGAGUGUUCGGGUGUAAAACCCCUACGCGUAAUGAAAGUGAACGCAGGUGAGAGCUUCGGCGCAUCAUCGACCGAUCCUGAUGUUCUCGGAUGGAUUUGAGUAAGAGCAUACGGGGCCGGACCCGAAAGAAGGUGAACUAUGCCUGUAUAGGGUGAAGCCAGAGGAAACUCUGGUGGAGGCUCGCAGCGGUUCUGACGUGCAAAUCGAUCGUCAAAUAUGGGCAUGGGGGCGAAAGACUAAU